AAGGAAUGCUGAGAUGAAAAAGUUUAAGCAGUUUGCUAAUAUGUAUUUCCCCCUCUUGUGUCUGUGGUUAGGUUUGCUUCAAAACAGGAUUAGACAUCAUCCAGACAGUACAGACCAUCAGAGGAUUCUCAAAGAUCCAAAAAAUAGAGCUGGAGAUAGAGCUCGCUGGAUCCUCACUGAUAAUUCACUGGGAGAAAGAUUUCCAAGACAUCAACAAGCAAUCAAGUACACAAAGAAACUGAAUCUGAUCCCGCGACCUGUACAGACACAUACUCUUCAUCAUGAUGACUCUGGAUUUACAUCAUACUCUGCCACGGAUGUCAGUAUGGACAAUACCUUUGAAUACCAGGUAGGAAAUCUUUACUACAUGCACACAUAGUUUUAGCCUUUUUUUUAAACAGUUUUUUAAACCCAAGUCUAUCUGGUGUUUUAAUGUAAAAAUCUUAACAUUGGUUGUAACAUUUCACAGUGUCUUGUUAAAAUAAUCCCUCUACUUUCUGUUUUGCAUG